AUUGAACGCUGGCGGCAGGCCUAACACAUGCAAGUCGAGCGAGCGGCGGACGGGUGAGUAAUGUCUGGGAAACUGCCUGAUGGAGGGGGAUAACUACUGGAAACGGUAGCUAAUACCGCAUACCAUCGGAUGUGCCCCGAUGGGUUUAGCUUGUUGGUGGGGUAACGGCUCACAAAGGCGACGAUCCCUAGCUGGGCUGUGAGGAUGACCAGCCACACUGGAACUGAGACACGGUCCAGACGCCUACGGGAGGCAGCAGUGGGGAAUAUUGCACAAUGGGCGCAAGCCUGAUGCAGCCAUGCCGCGUGUAUGAAGAAGGCCUUCGGGUUGUAAAGUACUUUCAGCGGGGAGGCGUUACCCGCAGAAGAAGCACCGGCUAACUCCGUGCCAGCAGCCGCGGUAAUUC
rnacentral:rRNA from 1 species